GGGUUGUGAGGUUAAGCGACUAAGCGUACACGGUGGAUGCCCUGGCAGUCAGAGGCGAUGAAGGGCGUGCUAAUCUGCGAUAAGCGCCGGUAAGGUGAUAUGAACCGUUAUAACCGGCGAUACCCGAAUGGGGAAACCCAGUGUGAUUCGUCACACUAUCAUUAACUGAAUCCAUAGGUUAAUGAGGCGAACCGGGGGAACUGAAACAUCUAAGUACCCCGAGGAAAAGAAAUCAACCGAGAUUCCCCCAGUAGCGGCGAGCGAACGGGGAGGAGCCCAGAGCCUGAAUCAGCAUGUGUGUUAGUGGAAGCGUCUGGAAAGGCGCGCGAUACAGGGUGACAGCCCCGUACACAAAAGCGCAUGUGCUGUGAGCUCGAUGAGUAGGGCGGGACACGUGGUAUCCUGUCUGAAUAUGGGGGGACCAUCCUCCAAGGCUAAAUACUCCUGACUGACCGAUAGUGAACCAGUACCGUGAGGGAAAGGCGAAAAGAACCCCGGCGAGGGGAGUGAAAAAGAACCUGAAACCGUGUACGUACAAGCAGUGGGAGCACCCUUCGGGGUGUGACUGCGUACCUUUUGUAUAAUGGGUCAGCGACUUAUAUUCUGUAGCAAGGUUAACCGUAUAGGGGAGCCGGAGGGAAACCGAGUCUUAACCGGGCGUUAAGUUGCAGGGUAUAGACCCGAAACCCGGUGAUCUAGCCAUGGGCAGGUUGAAGGUUGGGUAACACUAACUGGAGGACCGAACCGACUAAUGUUGAAAAAUUAGCGGAUGACCUGUGGCUGGGGGUGAAAGGCCAAUCAAACCGGGAGAUAGCUGGUUCUCCCCGAAAGCUAUUUAGGUAGCGCCUCGUGAAUUCAUCUCCGGGGGUAGAGCACUGUUUCGGCUAGGGGGCCAUCCCGGCUUACCAACCCGAUGCAAACUGCGAAUACCGGAGAAUGUUAUCACGGGAGACACACGGCGGGUGCUAACGUCCGUCGUGAAGAGGGAAACAACCCAGACCGCCAGCUAAGGUCCCAAAGUCAUGGUUAAGUGGGAAACGAUGUGGGAAGGCCCAGACAGCCAGGAUGUUGGCUUAGAAGCAGCCAUCAUUUAAAGAAAGCGUAAUAGCUCACUGGUCGAGUCGGCCUGCGCGGAAGAUGUAACGGGGCUAAACCAUGCACCGAAGCUGCGGCAGCGAACGUAUCACCCAAGACAACUUUACGGAGUUGACGAUUGACGGAGCGAAGCGACGUCAAAGCGUUCAUUAAAGUCGAGUUGGCUUAGGGAUACGUUCGUUGGGUAGGGGAGCGUUCUGUAAGCCUGUGAAGGUGUGUCGUGAGGCAUGCUGGAGGUAUCAGAAGUGCGAAUGCUGACAUAAGUAACGAUAAAGCGGGUGAAAAGCCCGCUCGCCGGAAGACCAAGGGUUCCUGUCCAACGUUAAUCGGGGCAGGGUGAGUCGACCCCUAAGGCGAGGCCGAAAGGCGUAGUCGAUGGGAAACGGGUUAAUAUUCCCGUACUUGGUGUUACUGCGAAGGGGGGACGGAGAAGGCUAUGUUGGCCGGGCGACGGUUGUCCCGGUUUAAGCGUGUAGGUGUGUGUUCCAGGUAAAUCCGGUUCACUUUAACACUGAGGCGUGACGACGAGGCACUACGGUGCUGAAGCAACAAAUGCCCUGCUUCCAGGAAAAGCCUCUAAGCAUCAGGUAACACGAAAUCGUACCCCAAACCGACACAGGUGGUCAGGUAGAGAAUACCAAGGCGCUUGAGAGAACUCGGGUGAAGGAACUAGGCAAAAUGGUGCCGUAACUUCGGGAGAAGGCACGCUGACACGUAGGUGAAGUGAUUUACUCAUGGAGCUGAAGUCAGUCGAAGAUACCAGCUGGCUGCAACUGUUUAUUAAAAACACAGCACUGUGCAAACACGAAAGUGGACGUAUACGGUGUGACGCCUGCCCGGUGCCGGAAGGUUAAUUGAUGGGGUCAGCGCAAGCGAAGCUCCUGAUCGAAGCCCCGGUAAACGGCGGCCGUAACUAUAACGGUCCUAAGGUAGCGAAAUUCCUUGUCGGGUAAGUUCCGACCUGCACGAAUGGCGUAAUGAUGGCCAGGCUGUCUCCACCCGAGACUCAGUGAAAUUGAACUCGCUGUGAAGAUGCAGUGUACCCGCGGCAAGACGGAAAGACCCCGUGAACCUUUACUAUAGCUUGACACUGAACAUUGAGCCUUGAUGUGUAGGAUAGGUGGGAGGCUUUGAAGUGUGGACGCCAGUCUGCAUGGAGCCGACCUUGAAAUACCACCCUUUAAUGUUUGAUGUUCUAACGUGGACCCGUAAUCCGGGUUGCGGACAGUGUCUGGUGGGUAGUUUGACUGGGGCGGUCUCCUCCUAAAGAGUAACGGAGGAGCACGAAGGUUGGCUAAUCCUGGUCGGACAUCAGGAGGUUAGUGCAAUGGCAUAAGCCAGCUUGACUGCGAGCGUGACGGCGCGAGCAGGUGCGAAAGCAGGUCAUAGUGAUCCGGUGGUUCUGAAUGGAAGGGCCAUCGCUCAACGGAUAAAAGGUACUCCGGGGAUAACAGGCUGAUACCGCCCAAGAGUUCAUAUCGACGGCGGUGUUUGGCACCUCGAUGUCGGCUCAUCACAUCCUGGGGCUGAAGUAGGUCCCAAGGGUAUGGCUGUUCGCCAUUUAAAGUGGUACGCGAGCUGGGUUUAGAACGUCGUGAGACAGUUCGGUCCCUAUCUGCCGUGGGCGCUGGAGAACUGAGGGGGGCUGCUCCUAGUACGAGAGGACCGGAGUGGACGCAUCACUGGUGUUCGGGUUGUCAUGCCAAUGGCACUGCCCGGUAGCUAAAUGCGGAAGAGAUAAGUGCUGAAAGCAUCUAAGCACGAAACUUGCCCCGAGAUGAGUUCUCCCUGAGACUUAGAGUCUCCUGAAGGAACGUUGAAGACGACGACGUUGAUAGGCCGGGUGUGUAAGCGCAGCGAUGCGUUGAGCUAACCGGUACUAAUGAACCGUGAGGCUUAACCUUACAACGCCGAAG
rnacentral:rRNA from 2 species